rnacentral:lncRNA from 1 species
UGGUAUGCGCGGCACACAUCAUAGGAAUAAUUGCAUUAUGCCCGCCCUAGAAUUGCAAUGUUGAAUCGAUGUUGUGCUUGGUUGCUGCCUCACCCAAACUUUCUUAAGCAAGUCAGAUAUAUUGUCAUUACUAAGGCUUCUUCCAAUGCUCCACCUUAUACAGUUGCUAAGACUGCCACGUACACAAAAAAUCUGAUGUGGCAUGGUAUUUAAGAGAAAAGAGACGGAUGUGAUGACCCUAGAAAGAAAUGAUGCCAAUCGCGUGAACAUAGGCAAAAUAC